GCCGCUGGCUGGAAUGCGCCCGGCUCGCCUCCGCGGCGCUGUGAGUCCCCGAGAGGCGGCUGGCGGUCUCUGGGCGUUCUUCCUCGCACCCAGGCCCUUCGCUGUCCUUGUCGAGAUUGAUUUCUCUUGCCUACCCGCCCUCGCCCACCCUGAUCCGGGUGGGAGUGGUCCCUCAGCAAAGCCAGACGGAUAUUUAGCAGUGAUACCGGCAGGCGCCUGGUCCCCGCCUCAGAAUCUGUCAGCCUCAAACAUUCGUUGACAACCUACGAUGGCCUGGCACAGAGCUGAGAACCUCCAGGGGUGUCAGAGACGAACCAGAACAUCUUCCAGGGAGGCCUUCACCUUGACCCCCUAUUCGAGCUUUCACCUUGACCCCACAUUCAGAGAGCUCUCAAAUGCCUUACGGUGACUUCCAGUCUGGGCUUGCAGUGUGAUUAUAGAAACCCGACGCACAGGUUUGGUGGAAAACAGUAGAGCUGAGGCCCAGAAGUCGCUCACUACGAGAUAGUUGUGCUGCCUUGUUGAUUACACUUGUAUUCCCAGCACCCGUGACGGUCACUCACACGUGGCAGUGCGUCUUCAGCCACCGUGUGUCCAGCUGAAAUCAGUUGGCCACAUGCUCCGUAUGGGCCUAAAUCAGAGAACACAGUAGAGACCCAGCCGGGCCCUGAGUAACACAGGUUGCAGCCUUCUCCCUGCCUGUGCCCCUCAUCCAAGCACUCCACCCCCCAGCCCUCACUGCGGACCUCACCCGUGAGUGGAAGGGCAGUGACGCCAGCUGCCCCUGAUCUGAAAUGCGCUUGCAAGUUUUGCUCCUACGACACUGCUCUGCUGGGAGUGGAGGUCAGUGAUAUGCCUCAGAUUGAAGCUUCUCUGGUCCAUCAAACAAAUCGCAGUGCUCCUUUGUGGGUUCCCUUCGGCUCCAUUCAUUGCGGUGUGUGGACGUUUCUGUGCCUGGGAAAUGGACCCCCAAGAGCUAGUGGAGGUAUCAGCCCCUCGGGAACCCCCAUCACAGAGGAGCCUGGCUGGCCUUCCCCGGGGCUCAGAGUGGGACUCCAACACAGAGAUGGGGACCGGUGGAGAGUGGGCAUCCUGGAAUUCUUCCUGGAGGAGGAAAAUGGGGAGAGCUAGGCUGAGAAGAGGGGUGACAGAUUUCACGGGGAGUCUCAUUGCGCCAAGCUCUUUAUGUAGAUUGCGACCUUUAUUUUUCAUGAGGAGCCUGUGAGGUCAGUCCUGUAAUCUGCUUUUCCAGAAGGAAGCUAAGCCCCGGACUGACAAAGUGACAUGCCCAAGGUCACACCAUUCCAGAGGGGAGCAGGAUUCUAGUCCUGAUCUGCUGGGCUCUGAGGGGAGGGCCGGGCCGAGGAUGGUGGGAGAAUUCCAGACUCUGGCCAGCUGCCCCUGCAUCCAGGGAGGCUGUGGGUGGGGUGGAAACAGCCACCAGAAGCCAGGGGCACGCGGCAAACAAGGGUGCCAGGAAAUGAACCGGACCCAGGGUCCUUCCUCCCGGCCCGCCCUGUGCCCCUGGCCAACUGCCGCCUCCCUUUGAGGCUUCUCCCUGCAAGAGAACAGAGAAAGCUGGGCCAGAGCCCAGGGAUGGCCCUACAUGGGGGGAGGCAGGGGUGGACCAGGAGGGUCUUGAAGCCCAGGAGGAGCCCUGCCAGGCCUAAGCCCCCCCUGUCCUGGGAGGAGAGAUAGAGAUCCCAGGGGUCUCAUCCUGUUUGUCUCGGAUGGAGCUCAGACUGGGGCCUCGCACAGAGAAGGCGCUCAAUAAAUGUGUGUCGAAAGGAGGUACAGCAGGUGUGCCGUCCAAACUGCGAGGCUGGAGGUGAAGAGGCCGGGUCCGGACACGGUUUCUGCCCCGCCUCGUGACCCUGGACGAGUCUCAGAACGUCCCUAUCCAUCAGAUCAAGCUGUUAUCCUGGAAUGUGCACCAUCGCUUGGGUCCCUUCCAGCUCUGACAAUGCAGUUCUAUUCAUUCUUUUACUCACUCGCUAAUUUGUUAUCUCAGUGAAAUACAUCGUAGAUCCCGAGAAAUAUACUUUGGUACUAAUGAGGCAGGGGGCAGAGUGGCGGCAAUCGGCAAAGCUUGUGGGGGGAUAGUGACGGGUCCCCCUCUUGAGCAGGGACUCUGGGGUCAGAUGGCCUGGGUUCAGAUUCUCCCUCCAAGACCUGCUCACUGAGUAACCCUGGGCAAGUGACUUACUCACGUUGAACUUGGAACUUCCUCAUCUGUAAGGUGGAGAUGAUAGGAGGAUAUACUUCAUAGGGUUAUUGUAAAAAUUAAAUGGGAUAAUACAAAUAAGUUGUUUAGGGAAAUAGUACACAGCAGGCGCCCAACAAGUCUUAGCUCUUCCCGUUCCUUAGAAGGCGAGCGAACUCCAGCAGACAAAGGGGGCUGCUGUGUGGGUGCAGGGGUAGGGGUGGCGGGAAGCAUCAGAACAGCGUGUGCUUAGAUACAGAGGCGGGAAAAUCCAGUACUGCCGAGGAGCACCAAGAGACCCGUCCAGACUAAGAGGGAAGAGGUAAGUUGGGUGCAGAUGGUGAGCGGCUUUGGUCAGGCUAAGAAACUUGGAUCUGAUCCUGUAGGUUGGCAUUUCCCAACUGCUGCUCCCCAGAAUUCCAUGAGCCGGUACUGGAUAUUUUAUAAAUAUUUCAGGGCACCCGGGUGGCUCAGUCAAUUAAGCGUCCGACUCCGGCUCAGGUCAUGAUCUCGUGGUACGCGAGUUCGAGCCCCACGGUGGGCUCUGGGCUGACAGCCCAGAGCCUGGAACCUGCUUCGGAUUCUGUGUCUCCCUCUCUCUCUCUGCCCCUCCUCCGCUCACAUUCUCUCUCUCACUCUCUCUCUCUCUCUCCCCCUCCCUCCCUCCCUCAAAAAUAAAUAAAAUUAAAAAAUUUAAAAAUAGGGGCGCCUGGGUGGCUCAGUCGGUUAGGCGUCCGACUUCAACUCAGGUCACGAUCUCGCAGUCUGUGAGUUCAAGCCCCGCGUCGGGCUCUGGGCUGACGGCUCAGAGCCUGGAGCCUGCUUCCGAUUCUGUGUCUCCCUCUCUCUCUGCCCCUCCCGCAUUCAUGCUCUGUCUCUCUCUGUCUCAAAAAUAAAUAAACGUUAAAAAAAUAAAAAUUAAAAAAAAAAUAUAUAUAUAUAUAAAUAUUUAAGGGGUGGGGGAUGGGGGAGAGGACAGGAUGACUGGAUGUCCACCUGCAAAAGAAUAAAGCUGGACCCCUACUUCAGAUCAGGUACAAAAAUUAACUCAAAACAGAUCAACAAUCUAAAUACAAGAGCUAAACCAAAAACUCUUAGGAGAAAGCAGAGGGGUAAAUCUUCGUGAUCUUGGAUUUGGCAAUGGAUUCUCAGAUGUGACCAAGGGAAGCAGCAAAAGAAAAUAUAGGCAAACCCAAUGCCGUGGUCUCAAUGUUUAGGCCCGUCCCCCUCCCUACCACAUCUGUAUGUGACAGUGCUGAUCUCCAAGGUGGAGGUGGGGCCUUUGAGGGGUGAUUAGGUCGGGAGGUCAGAGCUUCAGGAUUGGGAUCAGUGCCCUUAUAAAAAGAAGCUCCCCAGAAACCCCCAGCCUCAUGUGAGGAUACAGGGAAAAGUCUGCAACCUGAAGAGCGUCCUCACCUGACUGUUGUUGUGCCCUGAUCUUUGACUUCCAGCCUCCAGAAUAAACGUCUGUUGUUUAUAAUCUACCCACUCUGUGGUAUUUUGUCGCAGGAGCCCGAACGGACUAAGACACUGAACUUCAUCACAAUUGAAAACUUCUGUGCUUCAAAGGACCCCUUCACGAAAGCAAAAAGAUAAACCAUAGAAUGGAAUAAAAUAUUUCUAAAUCAUAAA